GAGGGUUGAGCCGUAACGUUUGUCACCAGACAAACCCAAACUGUGCCCGUUCAAGACUCGCAGAUGGCCGAAGAAAAGGAGGUGCCUCUCGAGGAGCAGCCACAGAAGUGGAAUUUCUGCAUGAUCGCUGUGGCUGCAGCUGCCUUGGUCCUUGGGGUUGGCGUUGUGGCCGCCUACCGUGA